rnacentral:rRNA from 1 species
GUUUGAUCCUGGCUCAGGACGAACGCUGGCGGCGUGCUUAACACAUGCAAGUCGAACGGUGAACUCCGCUUGCGGGGGGAUCAGUGGCGAACGGGUGAGUAACACGUGAGUAACCUGCCCUUGACUCUGGGAUAAGCCUGGGAAACCGGGUCUAAUACUGGAUACGACCUUCUGGCGCAUGCCAUGUUGGUGGAAAGCUUUUGUGGUUUUGGAUGGACUCGCGGCCUAUCAGCUUGUUGGUGGGGUAAUGGCCUACCAAGGCGACGAUCCAUAGCUGGUCUGAGAGGAUGAUCAGCCACACUGGAACUGAGACACGGUCCAGACUCCUACGGGAGGCAGCAGUGGGGAAUAUUGGACAAUGGGCGAAAGCCUGAUCCAGCCAUGCCGCGUGUGUGAAGAAGGCCUUUUGGUUGUAAAGCACUUUAAGCGAGGAGGAGGCUACUGAGACUAAUACUCUUGGAUAGUGGACGUUACUCGCAGAAUAAGCACCGGCUAACUCUGUGCCAGCAGCCGCGGUAAUACAGAGGGUGCUAGCGUUAAUCGGAUUUACUGG